UUGUCUUUACUUAAACAAUCAAGUGUACUUGACUAAACAUUACUUAAAAUUUUGCAUUUUGGCCCAGUCACUCAAAAAUAUAAGUUCAAAUAACUUAUUUACCUUCAAAAUACCAAAACUUAAGAUUUCAAGUGCUGUGAACUCAAAAUAAUGAUUAAACCUUACAAAAGGUAAUUUUCAAAAAUGUCUUAACUGUGAAAUGAUACAUUCAUUCAUGCUUUCUUCAAGUGCAAGGUGUCAUUCUUAUUUUACCAGAAAACAAAUGGCUUUCAUUUUACAAUUAUUGAUUGUAAUGGAAAUAAACUGAUGUUUAUUUAAAAAAAAAAAAAAAACGGAUACUUUAAACUUAACAAAUAAACUUUAUUACCCAAUUUUCAUACAUUUCACGUGCACAUAUGCCACGUGCCAAAACGCAUGAAAGAGUUCCUCACAUCAGCCACCAACCAAGUCUCAAUAAAAAAAAAAAUAUACAAAAUAACAGAAAUACAGCGACGACACAUUAUGUUGAACGUUAAAUCAAAUUCAUUUCAAAGGUUUAAAACGUCUCUCUGAUCUUCCUCUGAUGCGAUUUGCCACGCAAGCAGUUCUGCAUGGCAACAACAGAACUAAUGGGCUGAUUGGUGGAUUACAAAAUUGGUGAUUUUCGCAUCGUCUCGUCAGUUGCUGACACCAGUUCAAAUGUGAAGACGGGACGGGAGUUUUUCUUUGAGUAACAUUCUCGUUCAACAGAAUUGCUGGCAAAAACCUAAAGCAGGAUUUCUACGAGAACCUUGAUAGAUAUAGUCCACGGUUCAUGGACCUUUUUUAAGCCAAAGGGGAGACUCCUGGUCAGCAACGUUACUUGGCUAACUUUUUGAAUCAAAUAAAGUCAGCCCAACCAACGGAGGUCCUAACCCUUGUGAUUCAAGGACUACCUAUCAUGCUUGGAGAUGAUGGUGACUUCAUUUCUUCAAGUCAUAUUUAGUGUCUGAUCAUCGCAACUCCAUCCUUAAUGUGCCAGUGGGCAUCUUAUUUGAGGACACUGACUUUCAGCCCCCCAAUUCCUUGUAUUUAACUUCUACGAUUGGAAUAAUAAAAUGCAGGACCUCCCACAGGCUAUGUGUCUCCUCUUCGGUCUGAUCUACGAACUUGAACUGAAUUACCCCAAAUCAUUUUGCAACACGUUUGAUUUCAUCCAGCGUGUGUUAAUGUCAAUGGGACAAUAUUCUCUCAAGCCUAAAUUGCAGUCUCUGGCAAACCAGCUUUUUGUAAAAAAAAAAAAAA